GGUCCUCCUGCGCGCCUAGGACCAAGGUGACUGCUCUGUCAUAGAUGUCCCCUAGCCUGGCAUGAAGUAAGAGUGAUUGGUGCUGAGGUGCACGGAGCGAUCGUAGCAUUCCAGUGAACUGCCUUCAUUUGACACACAUGGACCUAAAUAGAGGAUGAUGUUGAGUAUUUUCCCUCUACGGAAAAGAUGGGCUGCAAAACUACUCCCGGUGCCUUGCUGCUUGGAAAUUCUGCUCACCGAGCCGUCUUCAGCUACCCUAUUUCUUUCUUUUGUGCAGUGUGGAGGAGCCUACAGAAGAACUGAGCGCCUGAAGCAAACUCAGGACGUGAGGAGGAUUGAAAAGGUCUUUCCCCAGCCACGGUCUCGAGCCGGGCCGCAGGGUGGAGCAGGCAUGUGUAACCAGCACAUCUGGCAGAGACUGAAAUGGAGGUGAAUCCCCAAGGACAGAAAUUCAAUUUCCUUCUGACUCGGAUUGAGACCGACUCCUUCACAAGGCUGCUGUCGUGGAAGGCGACCUAGGCAGCGGAAUGAAAGCAAAGUGCUCGCUCCUUUGAACAGUACCUGGGAGCAGAGCAGGAGAGAAUCGCACACAGUGUCUGUCUGCUCUGUGCAGGUCACUUCCCAGCAGGGCUCCGACACCGUCCCCAAGACAGCAAGUUCAGGGCCCCAGCCCUUGUGUAGACCUGAGUUGGAAUCCCUUUUGCAGCGUGCUGACCUGGGUCAUAGCGAGGACUUACCUCCCCUAAAACUCUGCUUCCCCCAGUAAAACUGCAACUCGGAAAUAAAGUCUUUGUCGGUUCCCCGGUGAAGAGCCUGAGAACAGAAGGGUGGCGUGAGGGACCCGGCCCACAGUGUCCCCUCCUCUGCUGGCCCAUGCACCAGAUGUGGCUCCGACACACAGCUGGUGGCCAGGAGGGAGCUGGGGUCUCAGGGAAGGAUUCGGGCACAGAGGGACCCUGGAAUUGUCUGCCACUCACUGAGUGACAGUUUCUGUGUUUGAAAAAAAUUUGUCUGACUGAAACUAGUUCUUUCCUGCCGCUUCUUUGGUUUCAGUUUGUUUAAGAAACUGUUUAGAUGAAGGAAAGGUUUGAACAGCCUUCUAGCUGGAGCAUUUGGGUUUUCAACUCUAGACCAAAUUCAUUUAGAAGAGUACACAGGCUCUUCUACAAGGUUAUGUAUUUUAUUAAUGGUAAAAUGUUAUCAAAGCAGCCCAAUCCAAAUGACUGUGGAUUUUUAUAUUUGAAGAGAUGAUCUUGCUAAUGGGUCCAUGGGCUUUCUUUUCUCCAGACAGCUUUUCCCUUUUGAAACUUACACACUUGUGACUCUAUGAUAAUUCACCCAUUAUUUUAUAUUCAAAUGUAAGCUGACAUUCAGAUGGCACUCUGAAUCGUGUUAAGUAAACACUCUUCCAUCUCUAAGAAUUUUAUCUGGGGAUAAAUGCUGAAUUUUACUUACAUGGAGACAGUCUCUCCAGCUAUAUCAUUACAUUUCCCUCCUUCCUUUUUUCCUCUUUUCUAUUGUCCUUUGUUGCACAUUUAUAAUUUCUUUAUUCAUCUAAUUUAAAAUAUGUAUCGUUUGUCUCCUUUUGCCAGAGAAUCAGAUUUUAGAUUUAUUGAUUACUUGUACUCCUUCUGUUUGCAGUGUUAUUAAAUUUGUCAUAACUACUAACAUAUUCUUUCUUACUAAUUUUCAGUUUUAUGACUCAAAAAUGAAAUGAUUAAUUCAUAUCCUUAUUAAUAUAAACUCCAUUGCAUAAAAUUUAAAA